UACCUGCAGCUCAAGUGGUGGCCGCUAUUAUUGGGCCUAAAACGUUCGUAGCCGGCUGAGUAAAUGCUUGGGUAAAUCGUGCCGCUUAACGGUACGAAUUCCGGGUAGACUGCUCAACUUGAGACCGGGAGAAGCUAGAGGUACUCCUGGGGUAGAGGUGAAAUUCUGUAAUCCUGGGGGGACCACCAGUGGCGAAGGCGUCUAGCUAGAACGGGUCUGACGGUGAGGGACGAAACCCUGGGGCGCAAACCGGAUUAGAUACCCGGGUAGUCCAGGGCGCAAACGCUGCUUGCUUGAUGUUAGCUGGGCUCCGGGCUCAGCUAGUGUCGGAGAGAAGUUGUUAAGCAAGCUGCCUGGGAAGUACGAUCGCAAGAUUGAAACUUAAAGGAAUUGGCGGGGGAGCACAGCAACGGGUGGGGCGUGCGGUUU
rnacentral:rRNA from 1 species